rnacentral:rRNA from 1 species
UGGGGAAUAUUGGACAAUGGGCGAAAGCCUGAUCCAGCCAUGCCGCGUGUGUGAAGAAGGUCUUCGGAUUGUAAAGCACUUUAAGUUGGGAGGAAGGGCAGUAAGCGAAUACCUUGCUGUUUUGACGUUACCGACAGAAUAAGCACCGGCUAACUCUGUGCCAGCAGCCGCGGUAAUACAGAGGGUGCAAGCGUUAAUCGGAAUUACUGGGCGUAAAGCGCGCGUAGGUGGUUCGUUAAGUUGAAUGUGAAAGCCCCGGGCUCAACCUGGGAACUGCAUCCAAAACUGGCGAGCUAGAGUAGGGCAGAGGGUGGUGGAAUUUCCUGUGUAGCGGUGAAAGGCGUGGAUAUAGGAAGGAACACCAGUGGCGAAGGCGACCACCUGGGCUCAUACUGACACUGAGGUGCGAAAGCGUGGGGAGCAAACAGG